ensembl:lncRNA
AAUAAUGUUGCCUCACCGUGCCCUUCCCAUCCUGUUUUUCUCUCAUCUAAAAAAACCUAUCUCGGCAUCAUCCUCUGUUUUCUAACUUUGAACAAAGCUCGUCCUACCACGGUGGGUGCGUGCGGCUCCUAAGUAUCAAUUCCAGCUCACUUCCUCAAGUUCUUAAGGGGGAAGGAAAAAAAAAAAAAAAAAAAAGAAAAAAAAGAAAAAGAAAUGAAAAGAAAAAGAAAAAGCCGUGAGUUGUGCAUGGGGUAUCUUUAGAGCCCAGUCAGCGCGCUGCGACAGUGCUGGGGGACGGGGGCGGCGCGCACCCCGCCCGUACGGACACACGCUCCCGCGUGCAGACAAAAGGCGGCGGCACCCCCGGCCUCGACGUGCUACUCCGUCCCGGAGAGGGGAGGGGGUAGGGGGGACAGAAAGUUCGGCAUCGACGGGGCGGGAGGGGGGGCGCUGCCCCGCGCCUUUGUUCAGCGGGGAGAGGACCUGCGGCGGAGCUGAGCCGACCGCGCAGAUGGGCACGCACCCGGUAGCGCGGCUCCGCGCCCACGGGACGAGGAGGAGGAGGGAGGCAGAAGGUCCCCAUGCAGCCUCCCUCGGUCUCUUUUCUCCUUCCAAGGUCAAAACGUGGCUGUCUGGAGAACAGGAUGCUCACCAAAACAUCAGUCUUUGCUGGGUGCCAUACUUGUUAUCCUUCCAUUGGUGGAAUACAACUUGGGUGUCCUCAGGAGGUGGCUGACAUGGAUCAAACUGUACCACACAGUGAUGGUGUGAAGACCUGAUGUCUUCACUGCUCAGAAACAUGUGUAAAUUAAUAGGCUACUGGGAGAAGAUGAAGAAGCUUUUGCAGAAACAUGAGGAUAUUGUGGGAAAUACUGCUGUUAACCAUUUGGAUUAUAUUGCUGUCUGACACAGAGGUUCUGCAGAUAACGUAAGGUAUGCUUCCCUCUGACUGUUGCAAAAACGUCAUCUCAUAUAUCAAAAUACUAAGCACAUUGGCUAAAUUUUAAGUAAACUUGCUUUUUAACCUGUUUUUUUCUUUUUCUUUUUUUUCUGUCUUUACCCCAGUGUUGAUGUCUACUAAUAGUUUUGAGUGGUGUAAUAACACAGAAAUGUCUUACUAAUGAAAGAAUUGAUGAAAGAACAACUGAAUAUGACAAAAUUUAUGUCUUUAGAGUUGGCCAAUAUUUUUAAGGUAAUUACUUUGUUGAGUCAAAGGAGUGCUUAGCAUCUCUAGAGAAAAUUGGACUAAUUGUUUUCCUUUAAAAAUAAGUUACAAACAGUUUAAGCAAAGCAUUUUCCAUAGCUGUGAUCUUCCAAAUGGCCAACUUUGUUUUAAGGCGUGUUACUAUUUUGAGUUGAACUAAAGACUGCAACAUGCUAUUAUUUAACCUCUCUUCAUCCAAAUUGUGAUGAAGUGCCUUAUGGACAGUUUGUGUGAGAGAGCAAAUAGAAAUCUUUAGCUUAAAUUUUCCAGGAAUGCUUUUGUUUCAUAUGUUUUUAAAGUGUGAUUUAAAUGCUUUUUGUGGACUGUGUUUGCAUCAUGAAUGUCCUAGUGCUGUGAGGGUCUCUUGGACGCAGACGUGAUUAUGUGAGAUAACCAGUGUACAAAAUAGAUAUGAAAACUAGUGGAGACAACAAGCUGUCAGGCAGUUGUUCACAAAUAACAUAUUAUUUAAGAACCUAGAUAUUAAGUGUUAAUCCAGUGAUGAGGAAAUUAUUGCUCCCCUUGGUGAGCUACUGAAAUCACAAAACAAAUUUUAAAACUCUUUAAAAAUGGAUCAGUUUGCACCUGUUCUGUGUACUUCUCAGUUACAGCUGAAAAUGAAUGAUAUGAAAAUUGCUUUUGCUGUAUAUUUCUGCCCAUCGGAUUGGUUCAGCUCUAGCCCAUAUGUAGGGCAGACAAAUAUUUGUAAUCUUAAGAAAAGUGCUGAACUGGCUGGCCUACUUUGGAGCAGAAUAGGAAUCUGAACAAAUAAUCACUUGUUAUCCUUUCCAGUUGUAAACAGAGAUACAAAAGGCAAUAAAUGCAGUACUCGUUUCCUGGUUCUGACUUGU